rnacentral:other from 1 species
AUUACCCUGCUGUGUUCGUGAUGCAGCAAACCAGUUUUGAGCCAACACCCUUACUAAUCGUCAGACCUCCAUCAAACGACGCGAUAGACCUGAGUCAAGGCGAAGUUGGUGGGUAUGACAAACCUGCUUAUGCAGGUUCAAAACUCAGCGGCACACGGCACGGCGGGGUUGUU